rfam:Oryza sativa (indica cultivar-group) chromosome 5, whole genome shotgun sequence.
AGAGAGAGUAAACCGCGGAUUUGCAUGCCAACGUUUGACUGUCCGUAUUAUAUAAAAUUUUUUUAUAAUUAGUAUUUUCAUUGUUGUUAGAUGAUAAAACAUGAUAAAUACUUUAUGCGUGACUUAUUUUUUUAUUUUUUUUAUAAUUUUUUCAAAUAAGACGGACGGUUAAACAUUGGACACGGAAACCAGGGUUUGUCUUUUU